CCCUUAGACGUUCUGGGCCGCACGCGCGCUACACUGACCAGUGCAACAAGCAUCCGUCCUUGGCCGACAGGCUCGGGCAAUCUUUGAACGCUGGUCGUGAUGGGGAUAGACUUUUGCAAUUUUUGGUCUUCAACGAGGAAUUCCUAGUAAACGCAAGUCAUCAACUUGCAUUGAUUACGUCCCUGCCCUUUGUACACUCCGCCCGUCGCACCUACCGAUUGAAUGGUCCGGUGAAGCCUCCGGAUUGGCGCGCACCUCGGUGCCGCCGAGAAGUUGGCUAAACCUUACCAUUUAGAGGAAGGUGAANUCGUAACA
rnacentral:rRNA from 1 species